AAAUCGAAGAGUUUGAUCCUGGCUCAGCGCGAACGCUGGCGGCAUGGUUAAAGCAUGCAAGUCGAACGAUUAAAGCCCCUUCGGGGGUGUAUACAGUGGCGAAAGGGCGAGGAAUACGUUCCUACGUACCCCGAGGUCGAGGACAGCCCGGGGAAACCCGGUGUAAUACUCGAUGUGGUCCCGGCUUAGUCGGGAUCAAAGGCUUCGGCCGCCUUGGGAGCGGGGAACGUCCUAUCAGGUUGUUGGUGGGGUAACGGCUCACCAAGCCGAAGACGGGUAGCGGGUGUGAGAGCACGAACCGCCGCAUCGGGACUGAGACACUGCCCGGACUCCUACGGGAGGCUGCAGCAACGAAUCUUCCGCAAUGCGCGAAAGCGUGACGGAGCAAUGCCGCGU
rnacentral:rRNA from 1 species